UAUUGCACCAAUGGGCGAAAGCCUGAUGCAGCGACGCCGCGUGAGGGAUGACGGCCUUCGGGUUGUAAACCUCUUCAGUAGGGAAGAAGCGAAAGUGACGGUACCUGCAGAAGAAGCGCCGGCUAACUACGUGCCAGCAGCCGCGGUAAUACGUAGGGCGCAAGCGUUAUCCGGAAUUAUUGGGCGUAAAGAGCUCGUAGGCGGUUGUCGCGUCUGCCGUGAAAGUCCGGGGCUCAACUCCGGAUCUGCGGUGGGUACGGGCAGACUAGAGUGAUGUAGGGGAGACUGGAAUUCCUGGUGUAGCGGUGAAAUGCGCAGAUAUCAGGAGGAACACCGAUGGCGAAGGCAGGUCUCUGGGCAUUAACUGACGCUGAGGAGCGAAAGCAUGGGGAGCGAACAGGAUUAGAUACCCUGGUAGUCCAUGCCGUAAACGUUGGGCACUAGGUGUGGGGGACAUUCCACGUUUUCCGCGCCGUAGCUAACGCAUUAAGUGCCCCGCCUGGGGAGUACGGCCGCAAGGCUAAAACUCAAAGGAAUUGACGGGGGCCCGCACAAGCGGCGGAGCAUGCGGAUUAAUUCGAUGCAACGCGAAGAACCUUACCAAGGCUUGACAUGAACCGGAAACGUCUGGAAACAGGCGCCCCACUUGUGGUCGGUUUACAGGUGGUGCAUGGUUGUCGUCAGCUCGUGUCGUGAGAUGUUGGGUUAAGUCCCGCAACGAGCGCAACCCUCGUUCCAUGUUGCCAGCGCGUAAUGGCGGGGACUCAUGGGAGACUGCCGGGGUCAACUCGGAGGAAGGUGGGGACGACGUCAAAUCAUCAUGCCCCUUAUGUCUUGGGCUUCACGCAUGCUACAAUGGCCGGUACAAAGGGUUGCGAUACUGUGAGGUGGAGCUAAUCCCAAAAAGCCGGUCUCAGUUCGGAUUGGGGUCUGCAACUCGACCCCAUGAAGUCGGAGUCGCUAGUAAUCGCAGAUCAGCAACGCUGCGGUGAAUACGUUCCCGGGCCUUGUACACACCGCCCGUCAAGUCACGAAAGUUGGUAACACCCGAAGCCGGUGGCCUAACCCCUUGUGGGAGGGAGCUUCGAAAGGUGAACCCGGGUUC
rnacentral:rRNA from 1 species